AGAGAAAGCAGUCGCCACGGGAAUACGUAGGUGGCAAGCGUUGUCCGGAAUUAUUGGGCGUAAAGCGAGCGCAGGCGGUUUGAUAAGUCUGAAGUUAAAGGCUGUGGCUCAACCAUAGUUCGCUCUGGAAACUGUCAAACUUGAGUGCAGAAGGGGAGAGUGGAAUUCCAUGUGUAGCGGUGAAACGCGUAGAUAUUAGGAAGAACACCAGUGGCGAAGGCGACUUUCUGGACGAAAACUGACGCUGAGGCGCGAAAGCCAGGGGAGCGAACGGGAUUAGAUACCCCAGUAGUCCCUGUCUCUUAUACA
rnacentral:rRNA from 1 species